GGACCUUCUAAAUUUCGAGACUUAUUGGACCUUCGCUAAUACCUGGGAUAAAUCUAAAAUCAAAUAUUUCUGAGCUUGAAAGAGGUGGGCCUAUUUCAUCCUGCAUUUUAUGAUGGGCUUGGUAAAUCAUAGCCCAGGAGCCACCACAGGAAAAUGAACGUCUAUUGAAUAGCUGCCGCAGCAAAUUUCACAACGAAAAACGAGCAGCGUCUGCCGGGGGACGGAAUCACUUGUCAGUUCUUUCUCUCAAUUGACGAACGUGGUACAAAAGAGAAAACAUGAAUGCAUUCAAAGCUUUCAAAGCCCAAGUUCCAAUUGCAUGGAGUCCGCACCUGUAUAUAACUUUGGUGAGGGGCAUUCCAGGAACUAGGAGACUUCACAGGCGUACCUUAGAGGCAUUGCGUCUUCACAAGUGCAGUUGGACUGUCAUGCAAUGGAAUGCUCCUAGAGCCAUGGGAAUGCUCCAGCAGGUUUUAGUAUAAGCUCGUAUUAAGUCUUCAGUUGCAUUUUGUCAGAAAAAUAAAGUCUUAAAUCCUUGCAAUUGCUUCGACUCAUAGGUCAUUGUUUUGAAUGUAAUUCUUCAAAAUUAGCAACAUCAUUUGCAUCUACAAGCUUUGUAAUUUAACCAAUGAUUUUAAAAAAGUACUUGGUUUUUAACA